CCUUUCUCCCUCUCCCCACUAAAGAAAACAUCAUUUGACAUAAAUGAUAUGUGUGUAUAUAAAAGUCUUUUUUACUGAUUUCUAUUUAUCUUUUUCUAGAGUUGGAUAUAUACAAGUCAUUCUUGAAGCAAUAUUCCUAUGCUGUAUAUGAUGUUCUCUUGGUUCUACUCGUUUCCAUCAUCAAAAUUUCAAAUGAGACAACUGAGGCAAGCAAGGUUAAGUGGUUGUCCACAGAGUCACAUAACUAUUAAGUGUCUGAAGUCAAAUUUCUACUCCAGAGAGGAGUAUUUCUGACCCUGGGCCUGACAUUCCAUCCACUAUGCCACCUAUGUGUUUUGUCAUAGCAAAACUACUUACCUGCAAAAAAUUCAGAAAAAAAUCUUUAAGAAUUGAAUUGAGAAUUGAACUACCUGAAAGCCUGACCACCAAAAGAGCUUGGAUAUAAUAUUUCAAAAAAUAUUAAGAAAAAAACUGUCCAGAUCUCUUAAAACCAGAGGACAAAGUCAAAAUAGAAAAAAAUCCACCAAUUAUCUGGAAAGAAACCCCAAAAUGAAAAUUCUCAGGAACAUUAUAGUCAAGAUCCAGAGGUUCCAGCUCAAAGGAAAAAUUCUGCAAGCAGCAAGAAAAAAAGAAUUCAAGUAUCAAAGAGCCAAAGUCAGGAUAACAGAGGAUCUAAGAGCCAACACCAUAAAGAAGUAGUCUAUAAAAAAUAUUCUAUAAAGUAACAAAAGGGGGAGGGUGCUCAAUCAAGAAUCACCUACACAUGAAAAGUGAUAUAAUCCUAUGGAGUAAAAUAUAGUCAUUUUAAAAGACAUAUUUGUUUGUAACAUUAAAAAUAUUAAGAUAAUCAUUUAACUCUUUUCCCUCUUCCCUUUCCCCAUCAGAGAAGGCAUCCUUUGACAAAAAGAUAUCUGUGUAUAUAAAACUGUGUCUUACUUCUUAAUUCUUUCUCUAGAGUUAGACAUCAUAAAGUCAUUAAUCAACAAAUAUUUUUGUGGUUGUAUAUAUUUUCUUGGUUCUCCCUGUUUUGCUCUUCAUAAUAUCUUGUAGACUUUUAAUGAAAUAGAAAUUUUGUAAACAUUCUUCAUGAGAACAAAGCUAUGUAUAAAUUUCAAGUAAAAUUAAGAGAAAUAUAAAAAUGUAAACACAAAAGAACAUCUGCCUUACAUGUGUAUUUCCUGAUGUUCUCUGCUCUCUUCCACUGGAGAACAUACCUUGUGCAUGCAUGAAAGUGAAUCCUCUCUUAUUGCCUUAUUUGCUAUGCUGUUUAAUUAUCCUUUGUCUUGAGCUAUCAUCUCCUUUCUGAUUGGCAAAUAAAAAUGAACACUUUAGUGAGGGCUUGUGAGUU
rnacentral:lncRNA from 1 species